rnacentral:tRNA from 1 species
GCCCGAAUGGUGGAACUGGUAGACACAAGGGACUUAAAAUCCCUCGCCUUCACCGGCGUGCCGGUUCGAGUCCGGCUUUGGGCACCA